AGACCCGAAACCCGGUGAUCUAGCCAUGGGCAGGUUGAAGGUUGGGUAACACUAACUGGAGGACCGAACCGACUAAUGUUGAAAAAUUAGCGGAUGACUUGUGGCUGGGGGUGAAAGGCCAAUCAAACCGGGAGAUAGCUGGUUCUCCCCGAAAGCUAUUUAGGUAGCGCCUCGUGAAUUCAUCUCCGGGGGUAGAGCACUGUUUCGGCAAGGGGGUCAUCCCGACUUACCAACCCGAUGCAAACUGCGAAUACCGGAGAAUGUUAUCACGGGAGACACACGGCGGGUGCUAACGUCCGUCGUGAAGAGGGAAACAACCCAGACCGCCAGCUAAGGUCCCAAAGUCAUGGUUAAGUGGGAAACGAUGUGGGAAGGCCCAGACAGCCAGGAUGUUGGCUUAGAAGCAGCCAUCAUUUAAAGAAAGCGUAAUAGCUCACUGGUCGAGUCGGCCUGCGCGGAAGAUGUAACGGGGCUAAACCAUGCACCGAAGCUGCGGCAGCGACACUGUGUGUUGUUGGGUAGGGGAGCGUUCUGUAAGCCUGUGAAGGUGUACUGUAAGGUAUGCUGGAGGUAUCAGAAGUGCGAAUGCUGACAUAAGUAACGAUAAAGCGGGUGAAAAGCCCGCUCGCCGGAAGACCAAGGGUUCCUGUCCAACGUUAAUCGGGGCAGGGUGAGUCGACCCCUAAGGCGAGGCCGAAAGGCGUAGUCGAUGGGAAACAGGUUAAUAUUCCUGUACUUGGUGUUACUGCGAAGGGGGGACGGAGAAGGCUAUGUUGGCCGGGCGACGGUUGUCCCGGUUUAAGCGUGUAGGCUGGUUUUCCAGGCAAAUCCGGAAAAUCAAGGCUGAGGCGUGAUGACGAGGCACUACGGUGCUGAAGCAACAAAUGCCCUGCUUCCAGGAAAAGCCUCUAAGCAUCAGGUAACAUCAAAUCGUACCCCAAACCGACACAGGUGGUCAGGUAGAGAAUACCAAGGCGCUUGAGAGAACUCGGGUGAAGGAACUAGGCAAAAUGGUGCCGUAACUUCGGGAGAAGGCACGCUGAUAUGUAGGUGAAGUCCCUCGCGGAUGGAGCUGAAAUCAGUCGAAGAUACCAGCUGGCUGCAACUGUUUAUUAAAAACACAGCACUGUGCAAACACGAAAGUGGACGUAUACGGUGUGACGCCUGCCCGGUGCCGGAAGGUUAAUUGAUGGGGUCAGCGCAAGCGAAGCUCUUGAUCGAAGCCCCGGUAAACGGCGGCCGUAACUAUAACGGUCCUAAGGUAGCGAAAUUCCUUGUCGGGUAAGUUCCGACCUGCACGAAUGGCGUAAUGAUGGCCAGGCUGUCUCCACCCGAGACUCAGUGAAAUUGAACUCGCUGUGAAGAUGCAGUGUACCCGCGGCAAGACGGAAAGACCCCGUGAACCUUUACUAUAGCUUGACACUGAACAUUGAGCCUUGAUGUGUAGGAUAGGUGGGAGGCUUUGAAGUGUGGACGCCAGUCUGCAUGGAGCCGACCUUGAAAUACCACCCUUUAAUGUUUGAUGUUCUAACGUGGACCCGUGAUCCGGGUUGCGGACAGUGUCUGGUGGGUAGUUUGACUGGGGCGGUCUCCUCCUAAAGAGUAACGGAGGAGCACGAAGGUUGGCUAAUCCUGGUCGGACAUCAGGAGGUUAGUGCAAUGGCAUAAGCCAGCUUGACUGCGAGCGUGACGGCGCGAGCAGGUGCGAAAGCAGGUCAUAGUGAUCCGGUGGUUCUGAAUGGAAGGGCCAUCGCUCAACGGAUAAAAGGUACUCCGGGGAUAACAGGCUGAUACCGCCCAAGAGUUCAUAUCGACGGCGGUGUUUGGCACCUCGAUGUCGGCUCAUCACAUCCUGGGGCUGAAGUAGGUCCCAAGGGUAUGGCUGUUCGCCAUUUAAAGUGGUACGCGAGCUGGGUUUAGAACGUCGUGAGACAGUUCGGUCCCUAUCUGCCGUGGGCGCUGGAGAACUGAGGGGGGCUGCUCCUAGUACGAGAGGACCGGAGUGGACGCAUCACUGGUGUUCGGGUUGUCAUGCCAAUGGCACUGCCCGGUAGCUAAAUGCGGAAGAGAUAAGUGCUGAAAGCAUCUAAGCACGAAACUUGCCCCGAGAUGAGUUCUCCCUGACCCUUUAAGGGUCCUGAAGGAACGUUGAAGACGACGACGUUGAUAGGCCGGGUGUGUAAGCGCAGCGAUGCGUUGAGCUAACCGGUACUAAUGAACCGUGAGGCUUAACCUU
rnacentral:rRNA from 1 species